rnacentral:rRNA from 1 species
CCCUGCCAUUUGUACACACCGCCCGUCGCUACUACCGAUUGAAUGGCUCAGUGAGGCCUUGGGACUGGCUCAGAGAGGUCGGCAACGACCACUCAGAGCCGGAAACUUGGUCAAACUUGGUCAUUUAG